CAGUUAGUAAUACAAUAGAGAUAUUCAACACCUUCUGGACAAAUGAUCUGUAUUUCUAAUUCAUCUGUUUUGAAGCAAUAAGAAGGAUCUAGUCAAGAAGAUGUUGAAAGAGGAAAUUAUCAAGAUCCCACAAUAUUUCAACCAAGGUGCUCGUUGUACUAAAGCUACAGAGUGUUCCAUGCAAUCAGAGAGAUCUACUGGACCUAUCUAAAUGAAUUCUUGUGAGAUGUGUGAUUGAAUUUGGGAUAGUGAGACUAAAUGGAUUGUGAAAGAAACGGUUGGCGUUGUGUCCAAGGAUGUACAGGACAUGCGAUACAAAGAACAGAAUUCUGCAUGCGAGCAAUUUGGCUUUUCUUCGUUGGAUACUUACUGAGUAAGGGGUAUGUUAUCCCUGUCUGCAUACGCGUCAUACAAAUAUUCACUGGAACGGAGCGUGUUAGCGGUUAGAUUCCAACAACCAUUCCACACAUUAGACAGCUACUUUUAACUUAAUAUAAACUACAGCAUUGGAAAGUCGAGCAGGGAUUCGAUUGUUACGUUAAAAAAAACAAAACAAUAAAAUCAGAACAUUUCAAUGAAAGAUUAAUACAAUUGAAUUCCUGCCGCAAGAGAACAUAUUUUCCAUUGGACUUCUUACUAUUUUCUUGUUGCAUUUUUGCGCGCGAUUGACAGGAUCAAUGAUUAGUUAAUAGGGCACACAGAGGUGACGAAAAGAGACUGGCACUUAUGAUUUAAGUUUGUCGAUUAGCACGAGAUCGCGCGAGAUAAUCACGAGAUUCUCUAAUUAAGGAUCAUUCAUGCCGACUAGAAAACUGAAAGAUGUUGCAAGCGCGAUUAAAUGCAUGCUUUUGGAUACGUAUGGAAGCUCGAUUAACUACCAGACCGAAGACAGAAGACUCAAUACUUGCUACAAUAAGGAGUGGUCAGAAUUUGUUUGGCGAAGAAAUGAGCGGAGAGAUAAUGGAAGCGAUUGUUUUCGAGUGAAUGUUAUGAGUAUCUUAAUAAACUAAACUUUUUCAACGUUCAAUCAAAUGAAUGAUAAUGAAUAACCCUGGCUUCACACCAAAAGGGAGAUUGGUAUCUUGAUGGUCGACAUGCAUCAGGUAUUUAAUUAUAAAUUGAAAACAUAUAAUAGCGUUUAAUCUAUCGAUCGGGUUUAAUUGCUGUUAAAAUAUCAGAAACUUACGCUUCGA